GAAAUAGCAGAAUAAACCAAAGGGCUGUCCAUUCUGAUGCCCAUGAUGAGACAUACACAGCUCUCAACCCCAGGAGCACAUCCUCUGAGUAUGACACUCUGCAGAACGUGAGGAAUGUGAGUGACACCUACAUGCCUCUCCAGAGAAGAGCUCAGGCCUCAGUGUAUGAGACUCUGCAGAGAAGAGAGACGCCCCAGUCAGAGAUGGAGCUGAAGGAUCUCGGGAUGAGAUGCCAACACCAACCAUGACUUCUGGACUCUCCAUCUCAUACUUACUGCUGCC